rnacentral:rRNA from 1 species
CUGGGUUAGUCGGGUCCUAAGCUGAGGCCGACAGGCGUAGGCGAUGGAUAACAGGUUGAUAUUCCUGUACCACCUAGUAUCGUUUUAAUCGAUGGGGGGACGCAGUAGGAUAGGCGAAGCGUGCUGUUGGAGUGCACGUCCAAGCAGUAAGGCUGAGUGUUAGGCAAAUCCGGCACUCAUAAGGCUGAGCUGUGAUGGGGAGAGGAAAUUGUUUCCUCGAGUCGUUGAUUUCACACUGCCGAGAAAAGCCUCUAGAUAGAUAACAGGUGCCCGUACCGCAAACCGACACAGGUAGUCAAGAUGAGAAUUCUAAGGUGAGCGAGCGAACUCUCGUUAAGGAACUCGGCAAAAUGACCCCGUAACUUCGGGAGAAGGGGUGCUCUUUAGGGUUCACGCCCAGAAGAGCCGCAGUGAAUAGGCCCAAGCGACUGUUUAUCAAAAACACAGGUCUCUGCUAAACCGUAAGGUGAUGUAUAGGGGCUGACGCCUGCCCGGUGCUGGAAGGUUAAGAGGAGUGGUUAGCUUCUGCGAAGCUACGAAUC